GUUUUAAUCUCAAAGCUUCAUAGUUUUAUGUUUAAGUCCAUGACCCAUUUUGAGUUAAUACUUGUGUAAGGUGUGAAGUUUACCUAGAGAUUCAUUUUCUUGCCUAUGAAUGAGAGACUAAUUUUUAGAACCUCUUAUUUGAAUGUAUUUAUUGCGCUUCUUUUUUUGUUUUUAGUACAGAUGGGGUCUCGCUGUGUUGCCCAGGCUGGGUGCCAACUCCUGGCCUCAAGUGAUCCUCCUGACCAAGCCUCUUUCAGUAUCUCAGUAUGGAGGGGCUCCAGAUGGAUCCAAAUAAGGAACUGUGAACGUUCAUAUUUUAAACAUUAAACUGUUUCACCAAGUUUCUUGAUGAAAAGAUCAAAUGCAGGCAAGAUUAUUAAUCACAAGAUACUUUAUUCUAAA
rnacentral:lncRNA from 1 species